GACGAACGCUGGCGGCGUGCCUAACACAUGCAAGUCGAGCGGAGGUACAAUGAGAGCAAUCGAGAUGUACUUUAGCGGCGGACGGGUGAGUAACGCGUGAGCAACCUGCCUAUCACAGGGGGAUAAGGCGGCGAAAGCCGCUCUAAUACCGCAUGAGACCCUCAAAGCGAUGCAAUGGGGGUGAAAGGAGCGAUCCGGUGAGAGAUGGGCUCGCGUCCGAUUAGGUAGUUGGUAGGGUAAGGGCCUACCAAGCCAAUGAUCGGUAGCCGGCCUGAGAGGGUGAACGGCCACAUUGGAACUGAGAGACGGUCCAAACUCCUACGGGAGGCAGCAGUGGGGAAUAUUGGUCAAUGGGCGGAAGCCUGAACCAGCCAUCCCGCGUGCAGGAAGACGGCCCUAUGGGUUGUAAACUGCUUUUCCAGGGGGAGAAACUUUCCGAUGCAUCGGGAUUUGACGGUACCCUGGGAAUAAGCAUCGGCUAACUCCGUGCCAGCAGCCGAC
rnacentral:rRNA from 1 species